rnacentral:tRNA from 1 species
GGGCCCGUGGCCUAGCUUGGAUAAGGCGCCGGCCUCCGGAGCCGGAGAUCCCGGGUUCAAAUCCCGGCGGGCCCGCCA